rnacentral:rRNA from 1 species
UACGUAGGGUGCGAGCGUUGUCCGGAAUUAUUGGGCGUAAAGAGCUCGUAGGCGGUUUGUCGCGUCUGCUGUGAAAACGCGAGGCUCAACCUCGCGCCUGCAGUGGGUACGGGCAGACGUAGAGUGCGGUAGGGGAGAUUGGAAUUCCAUGUGUAGCGGUGAAAUGCGUAGAGAAUAUGGAGGAACACCAGUGGCGAAGGC